GGGGAUUUGGCUCAGUGGUAGAGCGCUUGCCUAGCAAGCACAAGACCCUGGGUUCAGUCCCCAGCUCCG
rnacentral:tRNA from 1 species